GGCACGAACUUUAAAACGACAGGUGUUAUUAAAUCACGGGUUAGCCAGCUAGAGCUAGUUAUCUGCGUGAUAGAUCAUUGUGUGUUAAGGUAGUGAAUCAUGGUUUCAAAAUGUGUUCAUGUCAGGAACUUCCGCUUCUUACGCCGGACCCGGAAGCAGCCUGCGUCGUGACGAGGCCAGCAGACACGUGGUGUUGAUAAAGGGAUAAAUUGAGCCUCAGCCUCAUUAACGACCUCUCUUCCUUGUUGCGGUGAUGGACGUCGGGUGUGUUGCGGCUGAGAGGCAGACGCCAGCGUGUGUGCAGCUCUGUUUUACGGUAUUUAUCCACACUUUGCACCAGAUAUCAUUGUUUGUGUGACAGUUAUUUACGAAUCUCCGUGGGGUUGUUUGUUGCGGUUAUUUCCGCUCAGAUUAUCGCCGUUGGCUCGCUGCUUCAGCAGCGCCAAACCGACCUCAUGGUCUGUGGUCUGCUUAAUUAGGCCUCUCAGUCCACAAAUUACAGCUCACAUUGAGAGGCAUCGAUAACACAUCGAUCUUCCAGGGAUAGUUAUUGUUAAAUUAAAACGGAUUAAUGCGGACUAACGCAACAGUCCUGAAAUAAAUUAUAAAAUAGCACAAUUAACCUCAGACUGCGUCCUCAAAUGAUCACACAGUUGAAGAGCAUCUAAAGCUUUGUCUAACCUUCAUGAUGGUAGAAUUUAUUGCAGGAUUAUGUUAAACUGCAUUAGUUUUAUUUAUGUGUGUUCUUGUAUUUCAACCCUCAUUUUCCCGCAUUUUAAUCGGCCUCUGAACAGGCUCAUGACCACCCCACGAGAUGUAAAUCUGUCACUUUGAAUCCACCUCAUGCUUUAGUCCUGCCUUACAGAGUCAAACCUUAGUGAUGAGUUGCAUGUGAGUCCGUGUUUCACCUGAACCUCAUGAUUAUCCUUUCACUGCACUGAUGGGUUUGACGAGGGACGCGACUGUCAAAAUGUUAAAAAUAUUUCAAGCUCAGACUAAUGGUCCUGUGUUGUGGUUUCUUUUUUCUUCCAGGAUUUAAGAAGUUGGACUGGAUAUAUCUUGAUAAGGUCUGUGAGGCUGUUAAAUCCAGUACCUGCAUGAGGUCAUCAGUAGUUGACUGUUAGUUACUAAUAACUCUAAAAUGGCAGUGAGACUUAAACAGUUAUGGGGAGGAAAAAAUGGCUGCCUGAUGUACAGUCUGUUCAUUUGAAAACAUGGCAAAUCAAAUCAUUGUGCUGGUAAAAAUGUUCCCAUUUGUAAAGCUGGAUUUGUUCAGUUUUCAAAGAUCCUCGUGUAGACAGAGCUGAGGGUCUGUUUAAAGCAAAGUGUUUUGUGUUAAAUGAAACUGACACUGGAGCACACAGGGAAGUUUUUUUAUUAUUUUCUUUUCCAAUUUAAAAAAAAAAAAAAAAAGCAUGUUGAAUCGCAACGGGGGAUAAAACAUGUAUUACAGUGCUGAAAAUGGAAAACCAUCAGUGCAAAACAUUUAAAAAUAACUCGGACAAAGCUGUUAUCCACAUGCAGCAGUCAAACUGUUUGCUGUCAUUACUGCAUCAAGAAAUUCCACUGUUUCUACUCCCUGCAAAGUGUGUGUGUGUGUGUGUGUGUGUGUGUGUGUGUGUGUGUGUGUGUGUGGAGGGG